rnacentral:rRNA from 1 species
CUCCUACGGGAGCCAGCAGUGGGGAAUAUUGCGCAAUGGGGGAAACCCUGACGCAGCGACGCCGCGUGCGGGAUGAAGGCCUUCGGGUUGUAAACCGCUUUCACCAGGGACGAAGCGAGAGUCGACCGGUUACCUCGGGGAACGAAGCGCCGGCUACUACGUGCCAGCAGCCGCGGUAUUC